GCGGCAGCUUACCAUGCAGUCGAGCGGUAACAGGGGGUGCUUGCACCCCGCUGACGAGCGGCGGACGGGUGAGUAAUGCAUAGGAAUCUGCCCAGUAGUGGGGGAUAGCCCGGGGAAACCCGGAUUAAUACCGCAUACGCCCUUUGGGGGAAAGCAGGGGAUCUUCGGACCUUGCGCUAUUGGAUGAGCCUAUGUCGGAUUAGCUAGUUGGUGGGGUAAAGGCCUACCAAGGCGACGAUCCGUAGCUGGUCUGAGAGGAUGAUCAGCCACAUCGGGACUGAGACACGGCCCGAACUCCUACGGGAGGCAGCAGUGGGGAAUAUUGGACAAUGGGGGCAACCCUGAUCCAGCCAUGCCGCGUGUGUGAAGAAGGCUUUCGGGUUGUAAAGCACUUUCAGUGAGGAGGAAAACCUUCUGGUUAAUACCCAUGAGGCUUGACGUUACUCACAGAAGAAGCACCGGCUAACUCCGUGCCAGCAGCCGCGGUAAUACGGAGGGUGCAAGCGUUAAUCGGAAUUACUGGGCGUAAAGCGCGCGUAGGUGGUUUGAUAAGCGAGAUGUGAAAGCCCCGGGCUUAACCUGGGAACGGCAUUUCG
rnacentral:rRNA from 1 species